GGAGAGGUGACCGAGAGGCCGAAGGUGCGGCACUGGAAAUGCCGUGUACGUUAACGCGUACCGAGGGUUCGAAUCCCUCCCUCUCCG
rnacentral:tRNA from 1 species